CAACUGGUCAUCAGUGAGGUGCCCAGCCCUUGGUGUGCUGAUGCUCAGGCCCUACCUGGCACCCUGGUCUCCUGCACUGAGCUGUGUGAGCUCUUCCACCCAGCAGAGCCCCUGACAUUGACCAGCAUAGAUGGUGACCCUGGAGGAAGACUUGCAUC